rnacentral:rRNA from 1 species
UACGGGGGGUGCAAGCGUUGUUCGGAAUUACUGGGCGUAAAGGGUGCGUAGGCGGCUUUCUAAGUCGGAUGUGAAAACUCUGGGCUCAACCCAGAGCCUGCACCCGAAACUGGAGAGCUAGGGUUCUGGAGGGGAAAGCGGAAUUCCUGGUGUAGCGGUGAAAUGCGUAGAUAUCAGGAGGAACACCGGUGGCGAAGGCGGCUUUCUGGACAGAUACCGACGCUGAGGCACGAAAGCUAGGGGAGCAAACAGG